CAACCAACCAUAGACACAUACACACGCACACCAUCCCACCACAGUAAUCUCCGAGCCAUUUUCAAAAGUUUUCGAAUGGGAAUGGUGUAAAAAAACUUUUUUUCUGAAUAAGUAAUAGCAAAAAAGAUAGAUGGCAGAUUUUAUUAAAACGGUACUAUUUCCUGAGGUUAUCUGACACGUGAACAAACUGAAACUAAACAGAAUAAUGAAUACCUGACACCGCAGCAGCUGAUCUGGGCUCUUAAAUAUCUCUGUAUUAAGUAUAGUCAAAUUGUGACCAGAAACCAACAAGCAAUGGAAUGAUGUGCUUCACAGAUCCUGUACUCAAAAAUUCUUGUUGAAAAACAUUGUGUGGGGCAAUGUUCGACGCCAUUUAUUUUUUUGCUCGGGAUGAACAACUGACGCUUCAGUCAUUGGCUAAAAUGUUGGACAUAGACGGGACAUUUAAAGUGGUUUGACACCCCUUUAUCUGUUUACAGUCCACUUUUUCGUUAAGAUGGAGCAACCAAACAGAUACUGUUAGUUUAUGCCUUGGUGUCAGGAAAGGAGGCAAGUGCUAUAAAGCCGUCUUAAGACCAAUGAAAUGGGUAUUAGCUUCAGAGAUUGCAACAGAGGAGGUGAUGUUGGAUUUUGAAAGAGGGUUACGGAAAGCAGUUCCUGCUGUAUUACCAAAUGUACGUUUACUUUUAUUACAAGACGGGAAAAUAGUAUUGUGCAAGAUGUGAAACUUUUAUUAUACACUCCAUAAAAGACAACAAAUUAAAUAUAUUACUGGACAAAAAUUAAAUAUAUCAAAGUAUUCAUUCCUUAGAAAAUAGAAGUGAUGCCUUCAUAAUAAUCCUAAAUGCCUGUGAAGAUGAUUUGAUUAACUUAAUAAUUAAUAAAUUAAGAAACAACACAGUAUAAAUAUGUGUUUAGGGUCCAUAUCAAAAAUAUCAAUGUCUUAACAAUUUUAUUUUUUCAUUAUCAUGUGUGUGAUAUGUCAUGGAUGCUCCUUCCACUGGAAGAAUUAGCAGUAUGGACAAAUAUUGUAUAUAGUAGUAUGUAUAACUUUUUGAUUGUAUAGUAGUACAGUAUAAGAUUCCGAUUGACAAAGACCUAGCAGUAUGAUUCUGAUUGUAUAUAUUAUAAGGAUCUGAUUAUACAUAGUAGAAAUUAAAAUAAGAUUCUUAAUGGUAUGCAGUGGAAGAUUCUGAUUUACAUAGACCUAGCAGUAUAUGAUUCUGAUUGUACAUAUUAUAAGGAUACAUAGUAGAAUAAGAUUACUAUUGUUAUGCAAUGGAAGAUUCCGAUUUACAUAGACCUAGCAGUAAGAUUCCAAUUGUACAAAUAUAUAGAUUCCAACAUAUUUAUUAUUAAUUAAUUGUACAUUUUAAUAUAAGUAGUAUAAUUUUUAUUUUGUAAUAAAUUAUUUCAAUAUAAAAGUGUCUUCAAUCAGUUUUGUAGGAGCUUUAAAAGCAAAAAUAGUGAAAUAAAAAUCAAUUGUAAUAACUUAGACACUACAAUGUAAAUAAUAUUUGAAAUAUUAGCCUAUGUUAAAAGUUGGUGGUUAGAUUUUAGAAUUUAAAUUGGAAAAAAAGACACAUUUUAUAUUUUCACACUUUCAUUUUUUAGUACAGUAUAUUUACAUUGCAGAUGAUGACAGGUCUACCGAAAGUAAAAGCCAUUUAUAGACAUGUAUUCGCGAAUUCAGUCUUGUGACUUCUGAACUUUUGGUAUAUCUUAUAUUCCACUUAACUGCCAAUAACUCACCACUGUUAUUGAAAGUUCAUUUUAAAAAAAGCACAAGAAUCUGUCAAAUAUAUAUAAUGGAUUAUACUACUUAAUGCACUACUACUCAUUGGAUAUUUUCUGCAUGCCAAAAUUCUUGUCACUUUUGCAAAUUACAUACAUACAUUUAAGAAAAUAUUAUACCAUGGAAAAAGACACUAAAAAAUUAAGAUUUUGGAACACUAUAUUGAAAUGCUUGUGAAUUAAAAUAUCAGUUAUUUAACA
rnacentral:lncRNA from 1 species